ensembl:rRNA 5S_rRNA 5S ribosomal RNA
GCCAGCAGCCAUGUCACCCUGCAACUUACAAUUGGCAGCCCACUGAAGCUAAGCAGGUGUGAGCCUGGUCAGUACCUGGAUGGGAGACCUCCUGGGAAAACCUAAGGUUGCUGCUGGAA